UCUAAGACGGUACUUUCAAGAUCCUUGCAGAUCCCUUUGCUCAGCUUUGGUCCAUCCAUGCCUUUAUCCACAAAGGUGACAGCUACAAACAGAUUCCACUAGUUUUCUGCCUUAUAUCCAGACGUAAAGGGAGAGAUUAUGUUGCUGUUUUUCAGAGGCUGAAAGAGGUCCUUCUAAGACCAGCAGAAGUUCAGUGUUUUGUUGCCGAUUUUGAGCAAGGUGCAUGGAAAGCCAUACGUAAGGAAUUUCCUACUUCCACCAUCAAAGGUUGUGCCUUCCAUUUUGGCCAGGCAGUUUGGCGUAAGACGCAAGAGUUGGGCCUCAAGACCACAUACACCAGCAGGGGUGCAGAGUACAGAUACAUCCGUUCGCUGAUGGCACUUCCCUUCUUACCAGCUGAAGACAU